rnacentral:rRNA from 1 species
UGAAGGAGCGACGCCGCGUGGGGAUGAAUGGCUUCGGCCCGUAAACCCUGUCAUUGCGAUCAAACCUUACGACCUAACACGUCGUAAGCUGAUAGUAGCGGAAGAGGAAGGGACGGCUAACUCUGUGCCAGCAGCCGCGGUAAUACAGAGGUCCCAAGCGUUGUUCGGAUUCACUGGGCGUAAAGGGUGCGUAGGCGGUCGGGUAAGUCUAACGUGAAAUCUUCAAGCUCAACUUGGAAACUGCGUCGGAUACUAUUCGGCUAGAGGAAUGGAGGGGAGACUGGAAUACUUGGUGUAGCAGUGAAAUGCGUAGAUAUCAAGUGGAACACCAGUGGCGAAGGCGAGUCUCUGGACAUUUCCUGACGCUGAGGCACGAAAGCCAGGGGAGCAAACGGGAUUAGAUACCCCGGUAGUCCUGGCCCUAAACGGUGCACGUUUGCUGUAAGAGGAAUCGACCCCUUUUGUGGCGAAGCUAACGCGUUAAACGUGCCGCCUGGGAAGUACGGCCGCAAGGUUA